CCCGCUCAGAAACUCAAAGGAAUUGACGGGGCCCGCACAAGCGGUGGAGUAUGUGGUUUAAUUCGAUGCAACGCGAAGAACCUUACCUGGUCUUGACAUCCCGGAGACCCUUAGGAAACUAGGGGGUGCUUCCAUCUGGAAGAAUCUGGAGACAGGUGCUGCAUGGCUGUCGUCAGCUCGUGUCGUGAGAUGUUGGGUUAAGUCCCGCAACGAGCGCAACCCUUGCCUCUAGUUGCCAGCAGUUCGGCUGGGCACUCUAAAGGGACUGCCGGUGUUAAACCGGAGGAAGGUGGGGAUGACGUCAAGUCCUCAUGGCCUUUAUGACCAGGGCUACACACGUACUACAAUGGCCGAUACAAAGGGCAGCGACACUGCGAGGUGAAGCCAAUCCCGUAAAAUCGGUCUCAGUCCGGAUUGGAGUCUGCAACUCGACUCCAUGAAGUUGGAAUCGCUAGUAAUCGUGGAUCAGCAUGCCACGGUGAAUACGUUCCCGGGCCUU
rnacentral:rRNA from 1 species